CUGCAGAUCUGGCUCCGUCUCUGGCUGCAGCUCUGUUGACCGUGGUGGCAUCACGAGACUCCCCYGGAGCAGCUCUGAGCCGACACAGAGAAUCACUACAGGAGUUAAAUCGGAGUGAGCCGGACAAGCAGCAAGCCUGCCUAUGUAGGUGAGUUUCCAGCACACACCCGCUCCUUUUUGCAAGUUGUCCAAAACGUUAGCAGCAGUGACUGCUGACGCUGCUUCCCCUCCGUU
rnacentral:lncRNA from 1 species